GCCUGUCCUUCCUGUGAUCCUAGUUGUGUCAGAACUCCUCAGAGUUCAGCUGUCUCUGUGACCCUGUGAUUCUGGAAUCCUGUUAUCCUGAGAUCCUGGGUGUGUCAGAGCUCCUGGGAGUCAAGCUGCCCCUGGGACCCUGAGAUCCUGGUGUGACCAAGCUCCUGAGAUCCUGUGAUCCUAUGAUCCUGGGCAUGUUAAAGCACCUGAGUGACGAACUUCCUCUGGGUGUGUGGGACUAGGUGAGGAGCUAGUGCCCAAGGUCUGCUCAGGGUACCAGAUGGAACCCGCUGCCACUGACCAGACAGGGGUUCCUGAGUCCCUGGAUCUCAAUGGUCCCAGUUACUCCCAGUGUUGGGGCAGAUGUUGUGGCCUCCUCACCUAUGAUCCUGGGAGUGUUAGAGCGCCUGAGAGUUGAGCUUCUUCUAGGUUUUGUAGGACUGGGUGCAGAGCUAGUACCCAAGGUCUGCUCAGGGCACUGGCUCAGCCUUUACUUACUAUUCUGAGGAGUGAGCAUAUUCUAUUCCUGAUUGUAACUUUAUUACAUCUCUCUAGUGAAGCAACUAAGACCAUCUCUAAAAACUUUCUUCCUAAAAUUGUCAAAUCAGGAAUUCUAUAGAAUAAUUACCUAUUUGUCUAUAUAGCAUCACUACAAGAUAGUACAUCUUCAUAUAUCUGCAGAGAUCUGCUUAAAAAGGUGGGCUAAUGCCUAGUGAUUGUUAUAUAUGUUUAGUAAUAGCAGGAAAAACAUAUUAAUAACAGGAAUCUUUGCUAAAAUGGAUUUCUCCUAGGCCUUGUCUACCAGAGUAAAUCCUUCAUAGAUUUUAAUCUAAGUUGGACCCAUCUCAUGAAGAUCACCUGCUAGUUUUUAGCUUCUCUUAUGAUGGCUCCUGACAAAUGAAAGCCUGGAUAGUGAACAAAUGAUAAUUAUCUUUAUUCCUAGUUCUAUUAAACAUGUACACACAAUAUAUUUACACUUUAAAAAUACACAUUAGGCCGGGCGGUGGUGGCGCAUGCCUUUAAUCCCAGCACUUGGGGGUCAGAGGCAGGUGGAUUUCUGAGUUCGAGGCCAGCCUGGUCUACAGAGUGAGUUCCAGGACAGUCAGGACUGCAUAGAGAAACCCUGUCUUGAAAAAAAAAUACACAUUAGGUACAAUGCUAUAGAAUUCAUUAUAGUUAUAGUUCAAAUUGCAGUUGGUCAAUAGUUCCAUAGUUAAUACAUAGAAAAUUAUUUUGUCAUUUAUAUGGGUCUUGUUUUGUUUUAGACUAUUUUGAAAAAUAUAAACUUAUAAUAAGUUCUUAAUGGAAAGGAUUUUCUGCAUCAUUCAGCUCUUGUGGUCUAUAGUCCAUUGUGUAGAGCCAGGUUCUAUAUAGACCAGUGUUACAACAAGGGUGUUAUUACACCAUGUGAGUCAGGUGAGAAGAGGUCAUCAGUGGAUAUAUUUUCAGAGCCCUGGGUUGGGGGUCCAGGAAGAAAGCCAUUGAGUUUUAGUGAUGGUUUGGAUGAGAUAUGCCCCCAUCAUUGUGGGCAUCUGAGUACUUAAUUCCUACUGAUGACUCUGUUUGGCAGGCUUAGAUGGUAUAGUAUUGCUAGUAGAUGUGUGUCACUAGAGACAGGCUUUAAGAAUUUAGAAGCUCAUAUCAUUUUGAGUUCACUCUCUCUGCUUCCUGUUUGUGGCUCAAGAUGUGUGUUUUCAGCUUGUUACUCUAACUGUGGACCUGCCAUUAUAGAAUACUAUGCCUGUAGAACCAUAAGCCAAAACAACCCUUCCUUCUAUAUGUUGCCUUGAUUGUGGUGUUUAUCACAGCAAUAGAAGAGUACCGGUUUCUUGAAGAAGCCAAAAACCAUCCUGUGGUACCCAAUGACAGGGGAUUAUGACAUCAUCAUGGAGUACUGGAGGAGUAUAGUGAUUGGGCCAGAUAUUGAUUUCAAACAUUCAGCAUACAGAACUCCAAAGGAUAUGUCUCUAUGUGCUUUUGGGGAACCUAUUCCCAGGAUCCAGAAAGUGAUGUCUAUCCCAGGAAUCAGACCUGGCACACAUGGAGGAUUGUGAGGUCAGUGCUAUGGGUACAUUUGGGCAUGGAGAAGGAACAGAGUAGAUUACUCAGAAAUGGUCACCACCCCACCACCCCAACCUCCCCCCCAGGGACCGUAAAGUUUAAGAUCAGGGCAAUUUUCUUGUUGUAUAAUUACCUCUGCCUAAACAAGAUAACAUUACCCUGAAUGAAAAGAGAUCUCAGAGUCUCAAAAUUCAUGGGCAUUUACUAAGCAGAAAACCUUAAGGCAAUUUUGGAGCUGGAAUGAUAGUUCAGUGGCUUAGAAUGCUUGUUGCUGUCCAAGGGACUUACCUUCAAUUUCAAGAACCUAAGUGGCAUCCUGUUUCAGUUCCAGAUCUAGGGCCUCUUCUGAUCUGUGCCACCAAGCAGGCAAGAGGUGUACAUACACCUAAUAAAUGGAUCUAGAAAAUAAAUUAAUAAUGAUGAUGAUGAUGAUGAUGAUAAUCAUAACUUAAAGAUGGUCUCAAAUAUUCCAAAGAGAAGAAACUUACUCUCAAGAGUGAUUCUAACUUGUCUUUAGUGAGAGUUUUAAUUUGGAGGGCAGGGAGAGAUUAACUGAAUUGUUGCCACCCAGCAAAGCAUACACUGUGCCAAAUUUCUGAAAGGGGCUGAAAAGUGUAUUAACUAACCACUGUUAAACCAACAUUGACAACAAAGCAAAACAAAAAGAACAUUCAAACAAGAAUCAAAUAAACCCUUUUUAACAUCAAAUACCCAGGAGCAUAAAGACAGAGAGAUGGAGUCACUGCCAAAGUGAGCACUCUCUAGUCAGGAAAGGAGUUGAACAGAUUGGAGAGGUAUGGGUCCCUGGGCAGAGAAGGUUGAGCAAUAGACCACCAGCCAUAAUUGGUUUUGCUUUUUUGUUGAGACAGAGUCUCACUACAUAUCCCUGGCUGACAUGGAAUUCUCUAUGUACACCAAGCUGGCCUUGAACUCACAUAGAUUCCCUCUGACUCUGCCUCCCCAAUGCUAAAAAUAAGAGCAUGGGCCACCAAAUCUAGCCCAAAUUUUUCUCUGUCCUAAAGUUUUAAUGGAAAAUAGAGGUUCAGUGGUCCACUGGACCUCAAACUCUAUUCUUUACCUCCUUCUCACUCAGAAACAAAACAGAAUCUUCAAUUUCAAAUGCAUUUUUUAACUGAUGUUAUUUUUCAAGACAGGGUUUCUGUAUAGGAAUUUUAAUCCAGCAAUAUGGCCACUCUGAUCAUAUCCAAAGACCUUCUUGGUCUAUGUGAUCUGGCUGAAAUGCAAACAUGCUCUUAGUAUACAUCAUUAAUCCAAACCAAUGAAGGUAAAGAAAGUUUGUAGAAGGAAGCACCCAUGUUUGAAAGUGAUAUCUAAUUGGGAGGCAGACAAAGUGACAAAUCCGAAAAACAUUUGACAAAAUAGGACAUGCCCAAAUCACAUCGACAGAGAGGAAAGAGAGGCAACAUGAGAAAAAGCAGCAUAGUGGAAAAGAGGAAGGAGGCAGUUUUAUUGGGACAGUUGUACAGAGAGAUAGGUAGCAGAGAGAGAACAAGCUAGACAGAAGAGAAAACAGAACAAGCCACAGAAUGAGAAGGAGCCAGAAAAUUAGAGCACAUUGCCAAAGUUAGUGUGAAGCCAAGUAGAGCAAUUCAGUCAAAAGCUUAGAGAAGCCAGUUUGAAUCAGUCAUCUUGGAGAGCAGUUUGAGCCAGAAUAGCUGAGUUAAAUGAGAAAGGAUGAGCAUACUCAACAGUAAAUCUCAGAGGCUGAAAACAUCCUAGACCUAGGUAAGUUAUACAGCGACUAGAAGCUUCCAGGACUAGGUCUAGGUUAGCAGAUGGAGGCAGUAAACCUCUGUGAUAAUAUUACUACAGGAAAAUAGUUACAUUUACAGGUUUCUCUGGGUAGCUCUGGCUGUCCUGAAAGUCUCUCUACAGACCAGGCUGGACUCAAAUUCAGACAUCUGGCUGCCUCUGCCUCUGCCUCUGCCUCUGCCUCUGCCUCUGCCUCUGCCUCUGCCUCUGCCUCUGCCUCUGCCUCUGCCUCUGCCUCUGCCUCUGCCUCUGCCUCUGCCUCUGCCUCUGGAAUGUAGGUUUAAAGGUGAGUACCACCACACCUGGCUCAGAUGUAUUUUUUAAAAGGUGGGUAUCAGGCAUUUUCAAAUGUAGGCUUGAGUCUCAGCUCCUUCAGAGUGUUUUUAUAUUAUUCACUGUAAGAUAUAAAUAUCGUCUUGAAUUUUUCAAAAGGUUGGCUCAAAUGAAGAGGAAAAUCCUCAAUUUCUUGGGUCAGGAAUGAGAAACAUCCUUAUAUACUGGUCCAGAUCACAAGUGCAACACAAAGAUCCAGAGAGCCAUUUGAUGAGCAGAGCAUUCAAGACUCAAGGAUCCUUUGAAAUAUAUACAAACUUGGAAUUUCGGAUAUUGACCAUCUGCAAGAAAACAAGCAACCUGUUCUUUGUGUCACCAACAGUAUUUGAUGUUGUCAAUUGAUUACAUAUUUUUUUGUUUAGCAAUUGUUAGGUAUGUAUACAUAUCUAAUUAUGGAAUUACUUUGCAUUUCUAUAAUAGCUAAUGAUCUGAAGAGCUUAUUAUGGCUAUCUCUUUGAUAAAAUGUCA
rnacentral:lncRNA from 1 species